AUUGAACGCUGGCGGCAGGCCUAACACAUGCAAGUCGAGCGGAUGAAGGGAGCUUGCUCCUGGAUUCAGCGGCGGACGGGUGAGUAAUGCCUAGGAAUCUGCCUGGUAGUGGGGGAUAACGUCCGGAAACGGGCGCUAAUACCGCAUACGUCCUGAGGGAGAAAGUGGGGGAUCUUCGGACCUCACGCUAUCAGAUGAGCCUAGGUCGGAUUAGCUAGUUGGUGGGGUAAAGGCCUACCAAGGCGACGAUCCGUAACUGGUCUGAGAGGAUGAUCAGUCACACUGGAACUGAGACACGGUCCCGACUCCUACGGGAGGCCGCAGUGGGGAAUAUUGGACAAUGGGCGAAAGCCUGAUCCAGCCAUGCCGCGUGUGUGAAGAAGGUCUUCGGAUUGUAAAGCACUUUAAGUUGGGAGGAAGGGCAGUAAGUUAAUACCUUGCUGUUUUGACGUUACCAACAGAAUAAGCACCGGCUAACUUCGUG
rnacentral:rRNA from 1 species